rnacentral:rRNA from 1 species
UACGGAGGGUGCGAGCGUUGUCCGGAAUCACUGGGCGUAAAGGGCGCGUAGGCGGACAGUUUAGUCAGAGGUGAAAGCCCAGGGCUCAACCUUGGAAUUGCCUUUGAUACGGAUGGGCUAGAGUUCGGGAGAGGAGAGUGGAAUUCCCAGUGUAGAGGUGAAAUUCGUAGAUAUUGGGAAGAACACCGGUGGCGAAGGCGGCUCACUGGACCGAUACUGACGCUGAGGCGCGAAAGCGUGGGGAGCAAACAGG